rnacentral:rRNA from 1 species
AAGGCUACGAUCCGUAACCGGCCUGAGAGGGCGGUCGGUCACACUGACACUGACAUACGGGUCAGACUCCUACGGGAGGCAGCAGUGGGGAAUCUUGCACAAUGGGGGAAACCCUGAUGCAGCGACGCCGCGUGAGCGAUGAAGCCCUUCGGGGUGUAAAGCUCUUUCGUCAGGGACGAUAAUGACGGUACCUGGAGAAGCGGCUGCGGCUAACUACGUGCCAGCAGCCGCGGUAAUACGUAGGCAGCAAGCGUUGUUCGGAGUUACUGGGCGUAAAGGGUGUGUAGGCGGUUCUUUAAGUUUGGUGUGAAAUCUCCCGGCUCAACUGGGAGGGUGCGCCGAAUACUGAGGGACUAGAGUACGGGAGAGGAAAGUGGAAUUCCUGGUGUAGCGGUGAAAUGCGUAGAUAUCAGGAGGAACACCGGUGGUGUAGACGGCUUUCUGGACCGUAACUGACGCUGAGACACGAAAGCGUGGGUAGCAAACAGGAUUAGAUACCCUGGUAGUCCACGCCCUAAACGAUGCAUAUUUGGUGUGGGCAGUUCAUUCUGUCCGUGCCGGAGCUAACGCGUUAAAUAUGCCGCCUGGGGAGUACAGUCGCAAGGCUGAAACUCAAAGGAAUUGACGG